UACAGAGGUCUCAAGCGUUGUUCGGAUUCAUUGGGCGUAAAGGGUGCGUAGGUGGUGACGCAAGUCUGGUGUGAAAUCUCGGAGCUUAACUCCGAAACUGCAUUCGAUACUACCGUGCUUGAGGACUGGAGAGGAGACUGGAAUUUACGGUGUAGCGGUGAAAUGCGUAGAUAUCGUAAGGAAGACCAGUGGCGAAGGCGGGUCUCUGGACAGUUCCUGACGCUGAGGCACGAAGGCCAGGGGAGCAAACGGG
rnacentral:rRNA from 1 species